rnacentral:rRNA from 1 species
GAACGCUAGCGGCAGGCUUAACACAUGCAAGUCGAGGGGCAGCAUGAUGAAACUUUCGGGUUUCAUUGAUGGCGACCGGCGCAAGGGUGCGUAACGCGUGAGCAACUUGCCCUUAUCAGGGGGAUAACCGGUGGAAACGCCGACUAAUACCCCAUAGCAUCACUUUAAGGCAUCUUUUAGUGAUUAAAGAAUUUCGGAUAAGGAUAGGCUCGCGUGACAUUAGCUAGAUGGCGGGGUAACGGCCCACCAUGGCGACGAUGUCUAGGGGUUCUGAGAGGAAGGUCCCCCACACUGGAACUGAGACACGGUCCAGACUCCUACGGGAGGCAGCAGUGAGGAAUAUUGGUCAAUGGCCGAGAGGCUGAACCAGCCAUGCCGCGUGAAGGUCACGGCCCUAUGGGUCUUAAACUUCUUUUGUAAGGGAGCAAUAAGGUUCACGUGUGGACUGAUGAGAGUACCUUACGAAUAAGCAUCGGCUAACUCCGUG